rnacentral:rRNA from 1 species
GAUGAACGCUGGCGGCGUGCCUAAUACAUGCAAGUCGAGCGAACGGACGAGAAGCUUGCUUCUCUGAUGUUAGCGGCGGACGGGUGAGUAACACGUGGAUAACCUACCUAUAAGACUGGGAUAACUUCGGGAAACCGGAGCUAAUACCGGAUAAUAUUUUGAACCGCAUGGUUCAAAAGUGAAAGACGGUCUUGCUGUCACUUAUAGAUGGAUCCGCGCUGCAUUAGCUAGUUGGUAAGGUAACGGCUUACCAAGGCAACGAUGCAUAGCCGACCUGAGAGGGUGAUCGGCCACACUGGAACUGAGACACGGUCCAGACUCCUACGGGAGGCAGCAGUAGGGAAUCGUGCGCAAUGGGCGAAAGCCUGACGGAGCAACGCAGCGUGAGUGAUGAAGGUCUUCGGAUCGUAAAACUCUGUUAUUAGGGAAGAACAUAUGUGUAAGUAACUGUGCACAUCUUGACGGUACCUAAUCAGAAAGCCACGGCUAACUACGUG